rnacentral:lncRNA from 1 species
AAAGUGGAGAAGGAAACGCUGGGAAAUCUGGAAGUCAGACAUGAGAGCUAAUGCUGGCAGCUGUUGGGAUGUCCUCUUCCAGGAAUGGUGAUGAGUUUCCCUGGAUCCAGCCCUGGCUUGGCUGAGGGAUUAUUUUCAGACCUCAUGAAGCUGCUGGCUUAUAGAACAGGAGUCUUUCUGUUGGCAGCCAGGAGAGAUACAAGAGGGGGAGGACAGAUUCUGCAGCUCCAUUUCGUCCUUGGAACAGGAGAAAGGGUUGGAAAACAAAGAUCACUUUUCUCUGGCCAAAUGGAAUCACCCAACAAAGUACCUUCCUGAUGGGCCAGCUAUUUCAGAUGAUGAAGGUUUAAGAAGCAGCAUCAUCAGCGAACUGUGUUUUGAAGAUUUGAGGGAAGGGCUGACCUCAGGAUUUUAUACUAGGUUUGUGUAAACACACAGGAUUCUUUUUCUCUCUGUCCCAAAUUUAAUCAUCGCACUCAUUCAAAUGAAAUAUGAAGUCAUAAGUAUUAAAAUAUGCAUGAGAUUUUG